GUCGAUUUUCAGCACGUUAGCUAAGAUCAAGUGUAGUUCCUAUCAUUUACUAUCCUAUAAGUCCCUAUUCAAGAACCAUAUAUUGAUUUGAUUUUUCAGAAUGGGGGGCGAUUUUCAAAGCUUGCUUCCGUCGCCCUAGCGUUUGACUGAUAGGGCAGUUCUGCUGAUUCGGUGCAUCCCAC